rnacentral:rRNA from 1 species
ACGGAGGGUCCGAGCGUUAAUCGGAAUUACUGGGCGUAAAGCGCGCGUAGGCGGCUAAGUCAGUCAGAUGUGAAAGCCCCGGGCUUAACCUGGGAAUUGCACCUGAUACUGCUUAGCUAGAGUACAGAAGAGGGUGGUGGAAUUUCCUGUGUAGCGGUGAAAUGCGUAGAUAUAGGAAGGAACAUCAGUGGCGAAGGCGGCCACCUGGACUGAUACUGACGCUGAGGUGCGAAAGCGUGGGGAGCAAACAGG